rnacentral:rRNA from 1 species
AUGAACGCUAGCGGCAGGCUUAACACAUGCAAGUCGAGGGACAGCAUGACACGGAGAUUCGUCGAAGUGUUGAUGGCGACCGGCGCAAGGGUGCGUAACGCGUGAGCAACUUGCCCGUUUCAGGGGGAUAACCGGUGGAAACGCCGACUAAUACCCCAUAGCAUCAACUUUAGGCAUCUUUAGUUGAUUAAAGAAUUUCGGAAACGGAUAGGCUCGCGUGACAUUAGCUAGAUGGCGGGGUAACGGCCCACCAUGGCGACGAUGUCUAGGGGUUCUGAGAGGAAGGUCCCCCACACUGGAACUGAGACACGGUCCAGACUCCUACGGGAGGCAGCAGUGAGGAAUAUUGGUCAAUGGUCGAAGGACUGAACCAGCCAUGCCGCGUGAAGGUGACGGCCCUAUGGGUCUUAAACUUCUUUUGCAAGGGAGCAAUAAGUCCUACGUGUAGGAUGAUGAGAGUACCUUGCGAAUAAGCAUCGGCUAACUCCGUG